CAGUAAUUUAAGUUUGGAAGUAUCAUCUAAGAUUUGUACGCAAGAUCGAUUUAAAUUAGCAUCUUGGGGUCUUCCAUCGCUUAUUCUUCAGAAAUAUGAAGCGAAAGGAAUAUCAGAAAUGUUUCCAUGGGAAAACAUUGGUAGCAGAGAUUCUUCUUUUAAAGACGGUGCUGGAAUGUAAAAAGAAAGCCAUUUUUGUUUUACCAUUUGUUUCUGUUGUAAGAGAAAAAAUGUAUUAUUUUAAGGAUCUUUUAUCAGAAUACGGGAUUCAUGUUGAAGGAUUCAUGGGAGGUAUAAAUCCACCUGGUGGAUUUACAGCUACCGACAUUGCCAUAGCAACUAUAGAAAAAGCUAAUUCUAUAAUUAAUCAUUUAAUGGAAGAAGGAGAUUUGUCUACGUUGGGUGCAAUUGUAAUAGAUGAAUUGCAUUUGCUGGGUGAUCCUAAUCGUGGUUAUCUCCUAGAAUUAUUACUUACCAAACUAAAAUAUAUGACAUUACGGAAGAAAGAUAUUAACAUACAAUUAAUCGGUAUGUCUGCUACGCUUCCAAAUUUGACCCUGUUAGCGGAUUGGUUAGAUGCUGAAUUGUAUAAAACUGAAUUCAGACCUAUACCAUUACACGAGCUAUGUAAAAUUGGAAAAAGCAUAUACGAUAGCAAGUUAAAAUUACUUAGAAAUUUAGUAUCUUCGUCUGAAUUAUUGAUGGAUGCCGAUGAUAUUUUACAAUUGUGCAUGGAAACUAUAUCCGAUGGUAAAAGUAUUUUAAUAUUUUGUCCAACUAAAAAUUGGUGCGAAAAAUUGGCAUAUCAAGUAGCGCUAACAUUUUAUAAAUUAGGUCAAAAAGAUACAUCGCUUGGUAAUAUUUUAAAAGAACAAUUAAACAGUACAGCUAUUCUUGAAACUAUUGAACAAUUGAAACGUUGUCCAUGCGGGUUAGAUAAUUCCUUGAAAAAUUCAAUUUCAUUUGGCGUUGCUUUUCAUCAUGCUGGUUUGACAAUGGAUGAACGUGAUGUUAUUGAAGGAGCCUUCAGAUCAGGAUCUCUGAGAGUUCUUAUAGCAACAUCAACGUUAAGUAGUGGAGUUAAUUUACCUGCAAGAAGAGUCAUUAUUAGAUCUCCAAUGUUCGGCGGUAAAAUACUGGAUACUUUGACGUAUAAACAAAUGAUUGGAAGAGCUGGUCGAAUGGGAAGUGAUACUGCAGGAGAGAGUAUUUUAAUAUGUAAACCGAAUGAACGCAAAGCAGCAGAAUGUUUAUUAUCAGCAACAUUAAAACCGAUAGAAUCAUGUUUGGAGGAUUCUAAUCCUUUAAUCAGAACACUUUUAGAAGCCAUAGCUAGUGAAGUGGUAUAUACGAAAGUUGAUCUUGAACUUUAUAUGAAUUGUACUUUAGCGAGUAUAAAUAAAAAAGAUGUUAUGACAAAUUUAUCCACUAAUGCAAUUAAAUAUUUAAUGGAUAAUGAAUUUUUAAUAUUACAAGCUACAGAACAAGAAGAAAGAUGGGUUGCAACGCCUUUGGGAAAAGCAUGUCUCUCUGCAUCCAUCUCACCAAUAGAAGGAUUAUUUUUAUUUGAAGAAUUGCAAAGAGCUAGAAGAUGUUUUGUCUUAGACACUGAAUUGCACGUCGUUUAUUUAGUAACUCCAGUGAACGAUGGUAGUCAAAUAUCGACAAUAGAUUGGAUGGUAUUUCUGGAAUUAUGGAAAUCAAUAUCGGAAAGCGAACGAAGAGUUGGUCAACUUAUAGGCAUAGAAGAGCGUUUUCUAAUGUCAGCUAUUAGAGGAAUUGUGAAACCAGGCAAGCUACUGAGAAUACACAAACGGUUUUACACGGCGUUAGCUUUACAUGAUCUGGUACGAGAAAUUCCUUUGAAUACAGUUUGUAGCAAAUAUAAUUGCUGUCGUGGAGUACUACAAAGUUUACAACAAAGUGCUUCCACGUUUGCUGGAAUGGUUACACAAUUUUGUAAACAACUUGGUUGGGAUUGCAUGGAGUUAUUGGUGGGACAAUUUAAAACGCGUCUACAAUUUGGAGUAUGUAGAGAAUUGUUAGAUUUACUGCGUAUUUCAAUGUUAAAUGGAUUACGAGCAAGGAGCCUAUUUAAACAAGGAAUUACUACUGUAGCAGAUUUAGCUGUCGCUAACAUUCUUGACAUUGAACGAGCAUUGUAUAAAGCAUUACCAUUUGAAAGUGAAAAGGAACACGAUGGAGAACAUGAAUUGGAAGCUAUUACGAGAAAUAAAAUGAGAACUGUAUUCGUUACAGGAAAAGAUGGUCUUACACCUCAUGAAGCUGCUAUUUUAUUAGUCGAAGAAGCUAGAAUAUUAAUUCAGAAUGAAUUAGGUUUACAAAAUAUGCCAUGGUCGCAUAAUAAUAGCAUAGUCGCUGAUACUACAUCUAACAGUAAUAAUCAAUCUAAUUUAUCGAAAGAUAUUGCUGUAGAAAAUGAUAAUACAAAUAAGAAGAUAAAUUACACAGAUAUGUCAGAAAAAAGAAUGGAAGAUAUAGAUAAAAGUAAAAAGAAUUCUUCUUGCAUUCAUUCAGACGUAGAUGUCUCGUCACUGCAUAAACAAAAUGAGAUUACGGAACAUAUUAACAUCAUCAAUAAAAAUUUAGAAAAUAAAUCGCAUUGCUCGAAAGAUUUAAAUAUUGAUUUUGAAAGUAGAUGUGACAGCAAGUCAUUAAUUACUUUUGAUAGAAAAAGAAUUGAUGAAGAAAAUAAUACCGAUGAUAAUAAUUUAUUAAUGUAUUGUAAAGGUGAAAAUCUAAGCGAAUCUAAAAAAAUUAUGAAAUAUUCUGCUUCAAGAAGUCCCAGUUUAUUCGAUGAAAGUUUAAAUCUUGACACACAAUUGUACAAUGCACUUGAAGAAAAUAUCGUCGGUACUUUACAUUUUUCUUCGUAUAUAAACAUUAACAUAACACCUAAUAAAAUGAAAAAUGAAACAAGUACGAAAAGUUCAAACAAGUUAUUAAAUCAUGAAGUCAAAAAUAAUUUGCCAAUGGCAGAAUUAAAUUCAAAUGAAAAGAUUCUAUCGCACAAACCUUCUUCUUCUGAUACGCAAAUAAAAGAUGCAAUAAUAACAUGGAAUGAUGAUUCCUGGAACGAAUCCAAAUUAUUGAAAAAAAUUAGUGAAGUAAAUAAAGAGAAUAUAGAAGUUUUAAAUAACAGUAUCAACGAUAUGAAAAAUAUAAAAAACGUAUCAGAAAAUAAUGACCAAAAAAAUGAUGUAGAAUCUUGCAAUUGUAUUCUCGGACAAGAUGUUAACAAAAUAUCAUCUAACUACAAUUUACGAAGACUUUCCGAUAAAAAACCUUCCAUAGCAAAGGAAACUACUUUAAAUCUUGAUCGUAAAAUAUCAUUAAAUUCUAAUAAUUCGGAUGUCAUAAUGGGUUCCCCGACAGAAGUUCAAACAAAAUUAAAAUUAAAGAAGACACAGAAAAUCCCUGUUAAAGUUUAUAGAGAUAAAUUACCUAAAUCUGCAACUUCAACCAGUGUUUACAAAAAUAUUACAAAGACUACCAAUAGUAAGAUAAUAAAUAAAACUAAACCAAAAUUAAAACAAUUAUUAGAACGAAACAUUCUUCUUGGUGCAAAUUACAGUUCGGAUAGCAUCGUAUCAAACUCGGAUGAAGAAACACCAAUUAAAAAAGCAAAAAUAGUUAGAGGAUGUAAAACAUCUUUACCUGUUAUUAAAACAAGUUCAUCGCAUGUCCAACAAAUUAAAUCAGACGUACAAAUAAAUUUAUGUUCUCACAAAAUAGAACAUAUAGAUGAAAGUAUUGAUUGGAAUACAUUAAAUAUUGUUAAAGUUGGAAGCGAUAAAGCGACGUUUAAUUUAUUUAAACGUGAAAUUAUGAAGAAUAAAAGUAUCGCGUUGGCUUUACAUUGCGAAUCUUACGUAAACGAAUGUAACAGUAUAGGAAAUAAAAUUAUUAAUUCCACUACCGACGUUAAAAACAGAUCAAGAAAAAUUGAACAAUUCAUCGCUGAGGAUAAAAAAAUUUGUGGCGCCGCUAUUUCUUGGGAAAAAAAUAUUGCAUAUUAUAUUUCAUUUUGCGAAAUGAAAGAUUUAAAAGUAUCAAUUAAAGAACAAAUAAAUUUCUUUAAAGAAUUACUUUCUAAUACAUCAUUGUAUAUAAGAUGUUUUUCAACUAAGAAGUUGUAUAAAACACUGUAUCAAUGUUUCCAAGUAGCAGCCACUUGUAGAUUUUUAGAUCCUUAUACUGCGAAUUGGUUGCUACAUGGUAGUAUUUCUGAAAAAAAGUGGAACGAGAUGGUGUUGGAGUAUUUUCCUUUAGGAUCCUUCAUAGUGAAACACUUCGAUGCUAAAACAAACGUAAAAAAUAAAUUACCAUUGGAAUUUAAAGCAUCCACUAAAGCUGUUCUUACAUGGCACGUUAUGGAAACAUUAUUAAACAAAUUGGAAGAACUCUGUCCAAUAUUACUUUAUACAUUUAAAGAAAUCGAGAUGAGAUCUAUUACACUGUUAGCUCGCAUGGAAUUAACAGGAUUUGGUAUAAAUUUAAAAUCUUUGCAAGAAUUGUCACACGUUAUAGAAGUUGAAAUGUCUUCUUUGGAAGAACGUGCGUUUUCUUUAACGGGACGAAAAUUUAAUUUUUCAUCAUCCAAAGAAGUCAGUCAGAUUUUGGGAUUAUAUAAAGGGAAAAAAAUAAGUACCAAUAAAGCAGUUUUGGCACAACAUAAUAAUCCAAUCUCAAGCCUUAUUAUUUCUUGGCGUAAAUUAAACACAACUCAAACCAAGAUCGUUUAUCCGUUGUUAAAUCUUGGCCAAAAUAGUUCAAGAAUUUAUGGGGAUUCUGAAACUUUCACAUUGACUGGAAGAAUUUCUAUGCACGAACCUAACUUGCAAAACGUACCUAAAGAUUUCAAUUCAGAAGAUAAUACUUUUGUAAUAAGCGUUCGUAUGGCAUUUAUACCAAUCGAAGGAAACGUUCUAUUAUCGGCAGAUUAUUGUCAACUUGAAUUAAGAAUAUUAGCUCAUUUUUCGAAGGAUCCGAUACUUUGUAAUAUUCUAUGCAAGGAAGGUGAUAUUUUUAAAAAUAUUGCUGCUACAUGGAACAAUGUAUCGGAAGAUCAGAUCGAUGAUAAUAUGCGACAAAAUACUAAACAAUUGUGCUAUGGUAUGAUUUACGGUAUGGGUGUCAAAACGUUAGCAGAAAAUUUAAAAGUAACAGAAACAGAAGCUAAAACAUUUUUAGAAUCUUUCAUAAAUGCAUACCCAGGCAUAAACAAAUGGCUUAAAAAUGUUAAUUUAGAAGCGCAUAAAAAUGGAUACAUUACGACAUUAAUGGAAAGACGUAGAAUGCUUCCUGGUUUAAAAAGUACUAAUCUGUAUGAAAAAGCACAAGCGGAAAGACAAGCAGUGAAUACUAAAGUACAAGGUUCUGCAGCAGACAUAGCAAAACAAGCUAUGAUUAACAUAGAAGAUAGAAUACGAAACGAAUUUCCAAACUCAGCGAUUGUCAUACCAAAGAUAGGAAUUAAACAAAAAUUAAGAAAACAGCGAAAGAAUGACAAUUUAAGAGGUGCUUAUUUAGUACUACAACUUCAUGAUGAGUUAUUGUACGAGGUAAAUAUAAUGGAUUUACAAAAAGUAGCUUUAAUAAUUAAAGAAUCCAUGGAACAAGUAUGUCAACUUGCGGUACCAUUACCAGUAAAAAUAAAAGUCGGACCUGCUUGGGGUGAUCUAAAGGAGUAUCAUAUUUAAUCUUUUAGCUACUAUAAAGGUAUUUCUUUAUAACAAAUUUUUGAUACGUCAAUAUCCAUGAAAACUACUAUAGUAAUGUGCUGUGCCUGAGAGGUAAAUUAUUAAUAAUUAUCCAAUGCGAUAAUUAAUAAGAUAAAAUAAGAUUUUAUAUGGUAAGAUAAAUCUUAUUACAUAACUAAAGUUAAACGACAAUCAAUUAUUAAUAUUUCUUUUAUUUUUAACUUAUUUAUAAAUAUUCACAUUAUAUGAAAAUUAUUUUGUUUAAUCAUGAAAUUGAAAAUCAUAUUUACAGCAUGAAUAAUGUUUCGAAUAUAAAAAAAUAUUAUUUACUGCAUUGUUAUACACUAGGAUUGAUGAAAAUGGUGGUGCUAACGAUUGAUGUAACUUCAUUACAGCCGUUUGUACUAUUUGUUGGAAAGUCUCAUCAUCUUUGCUGGAACAGAGUCUUCUCCAAACAUUUCUUGCAACAUUUCAAUAAGACAUUCUUUGAAAUGCAUUCUAUCCAUUUUAGUUGGCGCGGGUAACAUUUUAGGAGGUUGUUCCAUCAUCUCGGCUUGCAAUAUUGCAGUCAAAACAGAGUCAGCGUACAUGUCGUUAACUGGAGUUGCCAUCCAUUCCAUCAUAACAAUUUUACCAUCGAUGGUUACAUCGAUGUUUUUAAAGACUCUUAACUUUUUAUCAUCUAUAACUUCCAAAUUACCAGCUAUUUGUGUUAAGAGAUGUUUUAAUACAGGUAACGAAGCGGAGAAAUAAACGCUUUGCCUUUGGAUAACUUGACUCAUACUCAUAUCUGUAUACUUCGAUAAAUCGCAAGGAGCUAACAUAUGAUAAUUAAAGUUACGUUUGACCAAAA
rnacentral:misc_RNA from 1 species